rnacentral:RNase_P_RNA from 1 species
CGAGCAAACCAGACAACCGCGGGCGAUGGCCGAAAGACCACGCAUGAGGAAAGUCCGGGCUCCAUAGGGUAAAGGCGCCGGGUAACCCCCGGUGAAGGCGACUUUAAGGAUAGUGCAACAGAAAUAGACCGCCGUCGGUCCCCAGCGGCUGACGGCAAGGGUGGAAAGGUGAGGUAAGAGCUCACCAGCAGUCCGGAGACGGGCUGGCUCUGCAAACCCCGCCUGGAGCAACACCGUGGAGGGACACAGAUUGCGACCCGCAAGUCCCGGGGAGGUGGCUUGAGCUGUUCGGCAACGUACAGCCUAGACAGAUGGUUGUCCAAUACAGGACCCGGCUUACAGAUUUGCUCGGAAA